CUACGGGUGGCAGCAGUGGGGAAUAUUGGACAAUGGGCGAAAGCCUGAUCCAGCCAUGCCGCGUGUGUGAAGAAGGCCUUCGGGUUGUAAAGCACUUUCAGUGGGGAAGAAAGCCUUGGGGCUAAUACCCUCGAGGAAGGACAUCACCCACAGAAGAAGCACCGGCUAACUCCGUGCCAGCAGCCGCGGUAAUACGGAGGGUGCGAGCGUUAAUCGGAAUUACUGGGCGUAAAGCGCGCGUAGGCGGUCUGAUAAGCCGGUUGUGAAAGCCCCGGGCUCAACCUGGGAACGGCAUCCGGAACUGUCAGGCUAGAGUGCAGGAGAGGAAGGUAGAAUUCCCGGUGUGGCGGUGAAAUGCGUAGAGAUCGGGAGGAAUACCAGUGGCGAAGGCGGCCUUCUGGACUGACACUGACGCUGAGGUGCGAAAGCGUGGGUAGCAAACAGGAUUAGAUACCCUGGUAGUC
rnacentral:rRNA from 1 species